GUGGCAACGCGGCGGGACCUGGCCAGCGCUGCUGGCGGGCGUUAGGGUGAGGUAUUUCUGGAAAACUCAAACUGUUUUUCCUCUACUCUGAUACCACAAGAAUCAUCAGCACAGAGGAAGACUUCUGUGAUCAAAUGUGGUGGGAGAGGGAGGUUUUCACCAGCACAUGAGCAGUCAGUUCUGCCGCAGACUCGGCGGGUGUCCUUCGGUUCAGUUCCAACACCGCCUGCCUGGAGAGAGGUCAGACCACAGGGUGAGGGCUCAGUCCCCAAGACAUAAACACCCAAGACAUAAACACCCAACAGGUCCACCCCGCCUGCUGCCCAGGCAGAGCCGAUUCACCAAGACGGGAAUUAGGAUAGAGAAAGAGUAAGUCACACAGAGCCGGCUGUGCGGGAGAACGGAGUUCUAUUAUGACUCAAAUCAGUCUCCCCAAGCAUUCGGGGAUCAGAGUUUUUAAGGAUAACUUAGUGUGUAGGGGGCCAGUGAGUUGGAGAUGAAAGCGUAGGGAGUCGAAGGUGUCCUUUUGCGCCGAGU
rnacentral:lncRNA from 1 species